AGUCACUGGCAGCGUGUCUCUCUCCCUAUCGUUCCUCUUCCUUCACCCGUCUCCCCUCUCCCGUCUUCCCCUUCUUCUUCUCCUUUUCUUUUCCUCUUCUUUUGCAGAGACAGGUAGCAUCUCCGACCAGCAACGUCUCGAGGAGACAGCAGCAGCAGCGUCUCGAGGAGACAGCAGCAUCGACUCCGGCGAGCCUUUCCUCUUUCUUUGUUUCCAGCCAACAAGUUCGGCUAAUGAACGACGUGGAUUCUAUACAUAUCUCAAUAUUGCGGCUGAUUUUAAGAUGAAUUUCAACAGAUCCGUCUGGGUUA
rnacentral:misc_RNA from 1 species